GACGAACGCUGGCGGCGUGCCUAACACAUGCAAGUCGAACGGGCCGAUGUGAAGUAGCAAUACGACACAAAGGUUAGUGGCGGACUGGUGAGUAACGCGUGGGUAAUCUACCCAUAAAACUGGGAUAACACCGGGAAAUCGGUGCUAAUACCGGAUAAGCUUUUAGCCCUGCAUGGGGUUGAGAGGAAAGGUGGCGAGCGCAAGCAGCUAUCGAUUAUGGAUGAGCCCGCGUCCCAUUAGCUAGUUGGUGAGGGUAAGAGCCCACCAAGGCGACGAUGGGUAGCCGGCCUGAGAGGGUGACCGGCCACACUGGGACUGAGAUACGGCCCAGACUCCUACGGGAGGCAGCAGUGGGGAAUUUUGCGCAAUGGGCGAAAGCCUGACGCAGCGACGCCGCGUGAGCGAAGAAGGCCUCGGUGUAAGCUCUGUCAUAAGGACGAGAGACAUAGGAACAAACAAUUACUAUGUAGGACGGUACCGUUAGGUAGGAAGGACCCGGCCGUAACUACG
rnacentral:rRNA from 1 species